GAAAUGCGAUAAGUAAUGUGAAUUGCAGAAUUCAGUGAAUCAUCGAAUCUUUGAACGCACAUUGCGCCCGCUAGUAUUCUGGCGGGCAUGCCUGUUCGAGCGUCAUUACAAUACUCAAGCACUGCUUGGCGUUGGAGGAGCCAUUAGGGCUCACCCCCUAGAGGCCCUCUGAAUUACAGCGGCGACGGCGGCUUUGGCGUCAUUGCGUAGUAACACCACUCGCUCUGACUCCGGCUUGACGUUGGCCCUAAACCACUGUCACACCCCUUGGUGUGACUUGGAACUGUUGACCUCGGAUCAGGUAGGAAUACCCGCUGAACUUAA
rnacentral:misc_RNA from 1 species